UACGUAGGGGGCAAGCGUUGUCCGGAUUUAUUGGGCGUAAAGAGCGUGUAGGCGGCCAGGUAGGUCCGUUGUGAAAACUCGAGGCUUAACCUCGAGCUGUCGGCGGAAACCAUCUGGCUAGAGUCCGGAAGAGGAGAAUGGAAUUCCCGGUGUAGCGGUGAAAUGCGCAGAUAUCGGGAAGAACACCCGUGGCGAAGGCGGUUCUCUGGGACGGUACUGACGCUGAGACGGCGAAAGCGUGGGGAGCGAACGG
rnacentral:rRNA from 1 species